GACCGUACGGGAUAAUCGAUUAUCCCGUGCGAUCGGCAUAAAUCAACCGCACGGGAUAAUCGAUUAUCCCGUGCGGUU
rnacentral:pre_miRNA from 10 species